rnacentral:rRNA from 1 species
UGAUUGACAGACUCUCGGCAAUGGAUAUCUCGGCUCUCGCAUCGAUGAAGAGCGCAGCGAAAUGCGAUAUGUGGUGCGAAUUGCAGAAUCCCGCGAACCAUCGAGUCUUUGAACGCAAGUUGCGCCUGAGGCCAACGGGCUGAGGGCACGUCCGCCUGGGCGUCAAG